rnacentral:rRNA from 1 species
AAUGAAGCUACCAAGGGCAUACGGUGGAUGCCUUGGCACAGGCAGGCGAUGAAGGACGUGGUAAGCUGCGAUAAGCUCCGGUGAGGUGCAAGCAACCUUUGACCCGGAGAUCUCCGAAUGGGAAAACCCACCUGGAAUAAAAGACCAGGUAUCUCCUUACUGAACACAUAGGUUUGGAGAGGCUAACCCGGGGAACUGAAACAUCUUAGUACCCGGAGGAAGAGAAAGCGAAAGCGAUUCCCUGAGUAGAGGCGAUCGAAACGGGAAGAGUCUAAACCGAGCGGUGCGUGAUAGCUGCGCAAGCGUUGCACCGCCGGGGUAGAGGGAAGUGUCCGGAGGAUGCGUCACCUCGGAUCGAAAAGCAUGCUAGCAGAAGCUUCUGGAAAGUUGCUCCAAAGAGGGUGAAAGGCCCGUACGCGAAAGCAUGCUCUGGAUCUGGGACACUCUCCCAAGUAGCACGGGGCACGUGAAAUCCUGUGUGAAUCCGGGCGGACCACCGCCUAAGACUAAACACUCGCCUGUGACCGAUAGUGAACUAGUACCGUGAGGGAAAGGUGAAAAGCACCCCUGGCGGGGAGUGAAAUAGUACCUGAAACCGUGUGCCUACAAGCAGUCGGAGCAGACUUGUUCUGUGACGGCGUGCCUUUUGCAUAAUGAGCCGGGGAGUUGCUCGUACGUAGCGAGGUUAAGGCCGGGAGGCCGGAGCCGCAGGGAAACCGAGUCUGAACAGGGCGAUUCAGUUGCGUACGGCAGACCCGAAGCCAGGUGAUCUAUCCAUGGCCAGGCUGAAACUUGGGUAAAACCAAGCGGAGGGCCGAACCCACUAACGUUGAAAAGUUAGGGGAUGAGCUGUGGAUAGGGGUGAAAGGCCAAACAAACCUGGAGAUAGCUGGUUCUCCUCGAAAUAGCUCUAGGGCUAGCGUCGAUGCAGUGUUCCGGAGGUAGAGCACUGGAUGGGUUAAGGGGCCUACAAGCUUACUGACCCCAACCAAACUCCGAAUGCCGGAACAUGGUCUACGGCAGUCAGGCCGCGGGGGCUAAGCUCCACGGCCGAGAGGGAAACAACCCAGACCGCCGGCUAAGGUCCCCAAGCAUACGUUAAGUGUAUCUAAGGAAGUGGAGUUGCUUAGACAACUGGGAUGUUGGCUUAGAAGCAGCCAUUCAUUUAAAGAGUGCGUAACAGCUCACCAGUCAAUGCGAUUCUGCGCCGAUAAUAAUCGGGGCUCAAACGUAUCACCGAAGCCGCGGACUGUCGCCUUGAGCGACAGUGGUAGAGGAGCGUUCCGUAUGCGCUGAAGGUGUCCUGUGAGGGAUGCUGGAGUGUACGGAAGUGAUCAUCCCGGCAUGAGUAGCGAUAAUGCAGGUGAGAAACCUGCACACCGAAAGCCUAAGGUUUCCUGGGCAAGGCUGAUCCUCCCAGGGUAAGUCGGGUCCUAAGCACAGGCCGAAAGGCGUAAGCGAUGGGAAGCAGGUGAAUAUUCCUGCACCAUUGUGUGUGCGUUCGAGCGAUGGGGUGACGCGGAAGGUAGGGCCAUCCGGGUGAUGGAUGUCCCGGUUUGCACCUGUAGGAGGGAGCGGCAGGCAAAUCCACCGCUCCAACUCCGAGGGGUGUGACGAGAGCUUCGGCUCGCAAAGUGGUCGUGUCCAUGCCGCCGAGAAAAACCUCUAAGCGAGUACACAUAAUGUCCGUACCGCAAACCGACACAGGUAGGCGAGGAGAGGAUCCUCAGGUGUUCGAGCUAACCCGGGUUAAGGAACUAGGCAAAAUGGUCCCGUAACUUAGGGAUAAGGGACGCCCGGUCUGGUGACGGUGUACAACCUGAGCCGGGCUGGGCCGCAGAGAAAUGGCCUGGGCGACUGUUUACUAAAAACACACGUCUCUGCCAAGUCGUAAGACGACGUAUAGGGACUGACACCUGCCCGGUGCUGGAGCGUUAAGGGGAGAGGUCAGAAUACGCCUAACCGUGUAUUCGAAGCUUUGAACCGAAGCCCCAGUAAACGGCGGCCGUAACUAUAACGGUCCUAAGGUAGCGAAAUUCCUUGUCGGGUAAGUUCCGACCCGCACGAAUGGUGUAACGAUUUGGGCACUGUCUCAACCCGGGGCUCGGCGAAAUUGCAGUAGCGGUGAAGAUACCGUUUUCCCGUGGAAGGACAGUAAGACCCCGUGGACCUUUACUGCAGCUUGAUAUUGGGUUCCGCCGUGGCGUGUGUAGGAUAGGCGGGAGACUUUGAAGCCUGGUCGCCAGAUCAGGUGGAGUCAACGUUGAAAUACCGUCCUCGUUUCGUUGGAACUCUAACACGGGUCCGUGAUCCGGAUCGUGGACAGUGUCUGGUGGGCAGUUUGACUGGGGUGGUCGCCUCCCAAAAAGUAACGGAGGCGCCCAAAGGUUCCCUCAGCGCGGUCGGUAAUCGCGCGUCGAGUGCAAAGGCACAAGGGAGCUUGACUGCGAGACGGACAGGUCGAGCAGGUACGAAAGUAGGGCUUAGUGAUCCUGCGGUCCCGAGUGGAAGGGCCGUGGCUCAACGGAUAAAAGGUACCCCGGGGAUAACAGGCUGAUCGCCACCGAGAGUUCACAUCGACGUGGCGGUUUGGCACCUCGAUGUCGGCUCAAUGCAUCCUGGGGCUGAACAAGGUCCCAAGGGUUCGGCUGUUCGCCGAUUAAAGCGUUACGCGAGCUGGGUUUAGAACGUCGUGAGACAGUUCGGUCCCUAUCCUCCACGGGUGUAGGAAGCUUGAGGGGAUCUGUCUUCAGUACGAGAGGACCGAGACGGACGCACCUCUAGUGUACCAGUUGUCCCGCCAGGGGCACCGCUGGGUAGCUACGUGCGGACCAGGAUAAGCGCUGAAAGCAUCUAAGUGCGAAACCGGCCCCAAAACUAGGCUUCCCGACCGAAAGGUCCUCAAGGCCACUCGGAGAUUACGAGUUUGAUAGGCCGCAGGUGUAAGCACAGUAAUGUGUUCAGCCGAGCGGUACUAAUCGGCCGUGCGGCUUCAUUAC